UUGGCCUCAUUUUCUAGCUUAUCUGUGAGGGCAAGUAAGAUACAUAUGUCAAACGAAGGCUUUGCCAAUACAGAAGCCUGUAUUUUAUCUUUUUUACCAUGCCUCCAUCGAAAAUGCCACCCAUCGGUGAUCCCUAUCCAAAAGCUCCCACAUCUUUAUCAUGAGAGUAGAGGCCCAUAAAUUGAAAAUUUUGUGGCCAA
rnacentral:lncRNA from 1 species